GACGAACGCUGGCGGCGUGCUUAACACAUGCAAGUCGAACGGAAAGGCCCUGCUUUUGUGGGGUGCUCGAGUGGCGAACGGGUGAGUAACACGUGAGUAACCUGCCCUUGACUUUGGGAUAACUUCAGGAAACUGGGGCUAAUACUGGAUAGGAGCUCCUGCUGCAUGGUGGGGGUUGGAAAGUUUCGGCGGUUGGGGAUGGACUCGCGGCUUAUCAGCUUGUUGGUGGGGUAGUGGCUUACCAAGGCUUUGACGGGUAGCCGGCCCGAGAGGGUGACCGGCCACAUUGGGACUGAGAUACGGCCCAGACUCCUACGGGAGGCAGCAGUGGGGAAUAUUGCACAAUGGGCGGAAGCCUGAUGCAGCAACGCCGCGUGCGGGAUGACGGCCUUCGGGUUGUAAACCGCUUUCGCCUGUGACGAAGCGUGAGUGACGGUAAUGGGUAAAGAAGCACCGGCUAACUACGUG
rnacentral:rRNA from 1 species